GAGAUAAAUCCUUUAGGUUGGAUCCUUUUUCUCUUAUUAGAAAGAUUUAUAUCAUGCUCAUUUUUAAAAUCAGCCAUGGCAUUUCAGUUAAAAGAAAAGUGGUAUGACUUUCACUUUUUCUAUAUGUAUGCAUCUUAACAAAAUUAUACAGUAAAGAAAAAUAAGUGAUACACAGCUUCCAGAAUGGGUACAUUUGGAAGGGUUUGAUUAAACUGUGUUAUCUGUGAGAAAUAAAAGGGGCAAAUAUAAUUAAUUGUUAUCUUAGUUACCCAGGUACCCAGCACCUCCUUCAGUAUGAGUUUCUGAGGAUAUACAGGAUUAUUAGCUGCAUUUCUGUUUCCUGAGUAUUUUAUAUUGAAGUACAUACUAAUAAAACAACUACUUCAUUACUACUUAGUAUGAAAAUUUACUUCAUAUUAUUAGAUAAAUUUUUUAGAUAACAGUUUUUUUGCAACAAGGAGCUAAAUAUUUAUAUUUUAAUCCCAACAGCAAUCUUCACGGGUAAUAUAUUAAUUACAGUCAUGUAUUAUAUGGCUAAAUUUUGUUUUUUUCACAUUAAUGCAUACCAGUUCCAUUAGAAUAGUUUAAGUGCUGAUGGCUCAGUCAGUUGUGCUCAGUUUCAAACACCCUUCCUUUCUGAUGUCUUUCUGAAUGUUGUUUUCCAUUACCUAAUUCUACUUAAAAGAUGGUUAAUAUUGGUGACCAGUCUCAUUUUAGCUUAAGCAGCCACUGAGUGCAGAUUUCCUCUUGCUUGUACCAUCAGCCCCUGCAUUAGGGCAUCAACACACAUCAUCACUGCUCACAGCAGUUCUGAUUUCUCCUGCUUGAAAUCCUCCUGAUUUCUCCCGCACUUCUUUGCUUCUUUCUGCAUGAUAUUAUCUUCUCAGGCAGCAUCCAGGCUCUCUCUUCAUCUUCCACUUGUCCCAUAGUUCCACCAGGAGGGGGGAAGGUUCCCUUUAGUAUCUGUAAAGGUGGCGCAUGAGCAAUUAGUUGCCUUUUUCUUUAUGCCAGUCUUCAGUUAGUGAUCAGCUCAUUCCAGAAUCACUUUGCCAGUUUUCUUAUUUUGUUUCCAUGUGUUCUAGGUCUGACUAUUGACUUACUGCAAUAUGUCCUACUAUUGCAUAUGUGCAUGGGCUAUUUUCUGCCCCUUCUCACUUUGUCAUCCCCCUUUUGCCACCUCUACCAGAAAAGAAUUUAUGAGAGUGAAUGCUGACAAAAAAGGAGCAGUUUUUAUAGCAUCUGAGUCAUGCACCCUGAUGGACUUUUUGUUUUUCUUGUCUGCUAUUAUUUAGUGUCCCCUAGAUCACUUCUUCCCUCAUAUGGGUUGCCAUCUCUUUCUGUACUGUUCCAGUGUGUACAGGCCCUAAAACUAAAUAUGUUUCUGUGUCCAAGACAUCCACUACAGGACUUAAAAUACACCCUGGUCAUAAUUCAAGGCUUGCCUGUCUCUACCACAUAAACUUCAAACAGAGACUGACAGCUUUUUCUGGUCCUAUUAUGUCUCUGCUUUCUUUUGGCUUUGAUCCAUCCCCAGGUGAUACAAUCUUUCAAAUUGUGUGCCUCCUUUUCCAGCUUGUAGAGUGUUGCAUAUCUGCCCACAGCUGGCAGUUGCGACUGCAGGAACAGCUGGAUUGCAACAAUCUGCAUCUCCAAGUCUUGGUCCCUGCUGAAUGUGCCAUUCCCUCAGCCCAGCCAUUUCUUCUACAAAAGGAGAGGAAGACAGGUGUUUCUAGGAGCAGAGUGGGCAUGUGUAGUAAGAGUUUGGAUUUGGUUUUCUCCUUCCUUGAUUUCCCUAUCAAUCUACCUGAUUUUGUCCUUUACAGGUAAAGCCAUAAUAAAAAGAGUCUGUACUCAGCUGGCUCAUGAGAAAGGGACAGAGACAGAUCUCUAAUCACACAGGAGUAUGAUCAAAGGCUUUUAAAGCAAGUGUAAGCAGAUUUGGUGCUUUCAUUCAGUAUCCACCUAUCAUCAGCUUGCUCUGACUGCCAUCUGUUUUCUCCUCUUUCUUUCAGAUUUUCAACAAAGUUUCCCUGUCCCUCACAAAACCUGCUACUUGCCACGGCAAGGUUUGGCUGGGGUGAGUCACAGCCAGAUCAUAAAUUGAUGUAACUACUGUCUCUCUGCCUGCCUUGGAUUGUUAGUGAUCCAAAUUUAUUUUGUUUUAUAGUAAAUGAGAUAAUGGCCAGAAAACAGGACUGCACACCUGAUGCAUUUGUUCCCAGUCUUCUGUGAUGACUUUAGGCUUCCUCCUACAAAAGUUUUUUCAGAGGCUUGGUUGUUCAGCAACCCAACUAGAAGGAUUCACAGUUUGUUACACUGAAAAUCUUCUUUGCUACACCCUAUACACAAUGAUAAGAAUUUACUGUUAGUCCAGUAAAUAUUCUAGCAGUAUAAUUUUUUUUGAUUAAUGCAGAAAAGCCUCACUUUUGUGAUGUUCUGGUCACCUUUCCACCUGCUUCUAAGUCCUGAGCUUGGCAGUCUUCCUGAUGCAGACAAGAGAUGGGACUUUGUAAGUCAUCAGCCCCUGAGACCUACACAAGAAAAACAGUGAUGUUUAGGUUGAGGGAUUCUAAUUCUUCAGCUUUGGCUGCACACAGUUAAAAUACUGAAUUACUCUUUAAAUUAAUGAAUUAUCUGUUGCUUCUUGACCUAAGCACUCCUGCAGCUGUCUCCUCAGCACCUCCUGUGUUGCCAUCUGAUUCAACACGUGCACAAGGAACACUUGCAAAGGGAGCUGAGUCAUUCUCUAAAUCUGGAACAUCAUCCUCAGAACACAAAACCUUCCCCUGCAGGACUUAAGGGCAAGUAUUAACUCUGCCAUUCUGCAUAGGAUGUUUUAGCUUCUCUUACUUUAAAUUACUAGUGUGUCUUACUGAAAGGCAUAUAAUUUAGCUGUACCCACCAAAAUUUUCUUUGUGACAUUUGUGUUGCAAAGUGCCAAAUGUUCUUACUUCUGUGUUCCAUUUCCUUUUCUUGUAAUUAAUUGUCAUUUCAGAAUAAACUCACAUCUUCACUGAUUGUUUUUAGUACAUACAUGUAAUUUCUGUGAACUGUGACUACUUUGCUGUCGUUCUUGAGGCUCAAGGAACGUAACCUCCUGUACAAUCAAGCUGUUAUUCCAGUCAGAACACUGAAAGAUGCUCACUGUGAAUAUAAAUCUGACUCAAGUCAUGUGAUAUACCUAAAAUUUAAAAGGGCUGAUGAAUGAGGACAUGUAUUAGACACCCAAAAAGUGAGGAAAAAUAAGUCAUGUGGCAUUGACAUCCCUAAGAAAUUUCAAAUUAACAUGGAAGAAAAUUAAACAGCAUAUCAAUGGAUGAGAUAGGCAUGAUGGUUUCUCCAUGAUGUCAUUGCAUGUUGAUGGAGGCACAGCACUAUGAAAUAUGAGAUGCAAAUGCCAUCAAAAUACUACCCUGGUUUUGCAAGGAGCUGCACAAGGAGCCAUUCCUUUUCUGCAAAAGGAAGGCUUGAUUAUUUAUAACUGUAAAAACAAAAACAGAAAAAUAAAUGUUUUCCCUUUUCUUAACUUCCUUUCUAUUCCAUGACAUAUAGAUAUUCCUAUUAAUUUUAAAAAGGUAAACUAUCACCUCUUGUCUCUGUUUUUCUUAA